UACGGGGGGGGGCAAGCGUUGUUCGGAAUUACUGGGCGUAAAGGGCUCGUAGGCGGCCAACUAAGUCGGACGUGAAAUCCCCAGGCUCAACCUGGGAACUGCGUCCGAUACUGGAUGGCUUGAAUUCGGGAGAGGGAUGCAGAAUUCCAGGUGUAGCGGUGAAAUGCGUAGAUAUCUGGAGGAAUACCGGUGGCGAAGGCGGCAUCCUGGACCGACAUUGACGCUGAGGAGCGAAAGCUAGGGGGAGCAAACGGGG
rnacentral:rRNA from 1 species